GACGAACGUUGGCUGCGUGCUUAACACAUGCAAGUCGAACGGAAAGGCCCUGCUUUUGUGGGGUGCUCGAGUGGCGAACGGGUGAGUAACACGUGAGUAACCUGCCCUUGACUUUGGGAUAACUUCAGGAAACUGGGGCUAAUACCGGAUAGGAGCUCCUGCUGCAUGGUGGGGGUUGGAAAGUUUCGGCGGUUGGGGAUGGACUCGCGGCUUAUCAGCUUGUUGGUGGGGUAGUGGCUUACCAAGGCUUUGACGGGUAGCCGGCCUGAGAGGGUGACCGGCCACAUUGGGACUGAGAUACGGCCCAGACUCCUACGGGAGGCAGCAGUGGGGAAUAUUGCACAAUGGGCGGAAGCCUGAUGCAGCAACGCCGCGUGCGGGAUGACGGCCUUCGGGUUGUAAACCGCUUUCGCCUGUGACGAAGCGUGAGUGACGGUAAUGGGUAAAGAAGCACCGGCUAACUACGUGCCAGCAGCCGCGGUGAUACGUAGGGUGCGAGCGUUGUCCGGAUUUAUUGGGCGUAAAGGGCUCGUAGGUGGUUGAUCGCGUCGGAAGUGUAAUCUUGGGGCUUAACCCUGAGCGUGCUUUCGAUACGGGUUGACUUGAGGAAGGUAGGGGAGAAUGGAAUUCCUGGUGGAGCGGUGGAAUGCGCAGAUAUCAGGAGGAACACCAGUGGCGAAGGCGGUUCUCUGGGCCUUUCCUGACGCUGAGGAGCGAAAGCGUGGGGAGCGAACAGGCUUAGAUACCCUGGUAGUCCACGCUGUAAACGGUGGGUACUAGGUGUGGGGUCCAUUCCACGGGUUCCGUGCCGUAGCUAACGCUUUAAGUACCCCGCCUGGGGAGUACGGCCGCAAGGCUAAAACUCAAAGGAAUUGACGGGGCCCCGCACAAGCGGCGGAGCAUGCGGAUUAAUUCGAUGCAACGCGUAGAACCUUACCUGGGUUUGACAUGGAUCGGGAGUGCUCAGAGAUGGGUGUGCCUCUUUUGGGGUCGGUUCACAGGUGGUGCAUGCCUGUCGUCAGCUCGUGUCGUGAGAUGUUGGGUUAAGUCCCGCAACGAGCGCAACCCUUGUUCACUGUUGCCAGCACGUUAUGGUGGGGACUCAGUGGAGACCGCCGGGGUCAACUCGGAGGAAGGUGGGGAUGACGUCAAGUCAUCAUGCCCCUUAUGUCCAGGGCUUCACGCAUGCUACAAUGGCUGGUACAGAGAGUGGCGAGCCUGUGAGGGUGAGCGAAUCUCGGAAAGCCGGUCUCAGUUCGGAUUGGGGUCUGCAACUCGACCUCAUGAAGUCGGAGUCGCUAGUAAUCGCAGAUCAGCAACGCUGCGGUGAAUACGUUCCCGGGGCU
rnacentral:rRNA from 1 species